rnacentral:rRNA from 1 species
UCCGGACUCCUACGGGAGGCAGCAGUGGGGAAUAUUGGACAAUGGGGGCAACCCUGAUCCAGCCAUGCCGCGUGUGUGAAGAAGGCCUUUUGGUUGUAAAGCACUUUAAGCAGGGAGGAGAGGCUAAUGGUUAAUACCCAUUAGAUUAGACGUUACCUGCAGAAUAAGCACCGGCUAACUCUGUGCCAGCAGCCGCGGUAAUACAGAGGGUGCGAGCGUUAAUCGGAAUUACUGGGCGUAAAGCGAGUGUAGGUGGCUCAUUAAGUCACAUGUGAAAUCCCCGGGCUUAACCUGGGAACUGCAUGUGAUACUGGUGGUGCUAGAAUAUGUGAGAGGGAAGUAGAAUUCCAGGUGUAGCGGUGAAAUGCGUAGAGAUCUGGAGGAAUACCGAUGGCGAAGGCAGCUUCCUGGCAUAAUAUUGACACUGAGAUUCGAAAGCGUGGGUAGCAAACAGGAUUAGAUACCCUGGUAGUCCACGCCGUAAACGAUGUCUACUAGCCGUUGGGGUCCUUGAGACUUUAGUGGCGCAGUUAACGCGAUAAGUAGACCGCCUGGGGAGUACGGCCGCAAGGUUAAAACUCAAAUGAAUUGACGGGGGCCCGCACAAGCGGUGGAGCAUGUGGUUU